UUAAGCGACUAAGCGUACACGGUGGAUGCCCUGGCAGUCAGAGGCGAUGAAGGACGUGCUAAUCUGCGAUAAGCGUCGGUAAGGUGAUAUGAACCGUUAUAACCGGCGAUUUCCGAAUGGGGAAACCCAGUGUGUUUCGACACACUAUCAUUAACUGAAUCCAUAGGUUAAUGAGGCGAACCGGGGGAACUGAAACAUCUAAGUACCCCGAGGAAAAGAAAUCAACCGAGAUUCCCCCAGUAGCGGCGAGCGAACGGGGAGGAGCCCAGAGCCUGAAUCAGUGUGUGUGUUAGUGGAAGCGUCUGGAAAGGCGCGCGAUACAGGGUGACAGCCCCGUACACAAAAAUGCACAUGCUGUGAGCUCGAUGAGUAGGGCGGGACACGUGGUAUCCUGUCUGAAUAUGGGGGGACCAUCCUCCAAGGCUAAAUACUCCUGACUGACCGAUAGUGAACCAGUACCGUGAGGGAAAGGCGAAAAGAACCCCGGCGAGGGGAGUGAAAAAGAACCUGAAACCGUGUACGUACAAGCAGUGGGAGCACGCUUAGGCGUGUGACUGCGUACCUUUUGUAUAAUGGGUCAGCGACUUAUAUUCUGUAGCAAGGUUAACCGAAUAGGGGAGCCGAAGGGAAACCGAGUCUUAACUGGGCGUUAAGUUGCAGGGUAUAGACCCGAAACCCGGUGAUCUAGCCAUGGGCAGGUUGAAGGUUGGGUAACACUAACUGGAGGACCGAACCGACUAAUGUUGAAAAAUUAGCGGAUGACUUGUGGCUGGGGGUGAAAGGCCAAUCAAACCGGGAGAUAGCUGGUUCUCCCCGAAAGCUAUUUAGGUAGCGCCUCGUGAAUUCAUCUCCGGGGGUAGAGCACUGUUUCGGCAAGGGGGUCAUCCCGACUUACCAACCCGAUGCAAACUGCGAAUACCGGAGAAUGUUAUCACGGGAGACACACGGCGGGUGCUAACGUCCGUCGUGAAGAGGGAAACAACCCAGACCGCCAGCUAAGGUCCCAAAGUCAUGGUUAAGUGGGAAACGAUGUGGGAAGGCCCAGACAGCCAGGAUGUUGGCUUAGAAGCAGCCAUCAUUUAAAGAAAGCGUAAUAGCUCACUGGUCGAGUCGGCCUGCGCGGAAGAUGUAACGGGGCUAAACCAUGCACCGAAGCUGCGGCAGCGACGCUGAUGCGUUGUUGGGUAGGGGAGCGUUCUGUAAGCCUGUGAAGGUGUGCUGUGAGGCAUGCUGGAGGUAUCAGAAGUGCGAAUGCUGACAUAAGUAACGAUAAAGCGGGUGAAAAGCCCGCUCGCCGGAAGACCAAGGGUUCCUGUCCAACGUUAAUCGGGGCAGGGUGAGUCGACCCCUAAGGCGAGGCCGAAAGGCGUAGUCGAUGGGAAACAGGUUAAUAUUCCUGUACUUGGUGUUACUGCGAAGGGGGACGGAGAAGGCUAUGUUGGCCGGGCGACGGUUGUCCCGGUUUAAGCGUGUAGGCUGGUUUUCCAGGCAAAUCCGGAAAACUAAGGCUGAGGCGUGAUGACGAGGCACUACGGUGCUGAAGCAACAAAUGCCCUGCUUCCAGGAAAAGCCUCUAAGCAUCAGGUAACAUCAAAUCGUACCCCAAACCGACACAGGUGGUCAGGUAGAGAAUACCAAGGCGCUUGAGAGAACUCGGGUGAAGGAACUAGGCAAAAUGGUGCCGUAACUUCGGGAGAAGGCACGCUGAUAUGUAGGUGAAGUCCCUCGCGGAUGGAGCUGAAAUCAGUCGAAGAUACCAGCUGGCUGCAACUGUUUAUUAAAAACACAGCACUGUGCAAACACGAAAGUGGACGUAUACGGUGUGACGCCUGCCCGGUGCCGGAAGGUUAAUUGAUGGGGUCAGCGCAAGCGAAGCUCUUGAUCGAAGCCCCGGUAAACGGCGGCCGUAACUAUAACGGUCCUAAGGUAGCGAAAUUCCUUGUCGGGUAAGUUCCGACCUGCACGAAUGGCGUAAUGAUGGCCAGGCUGUCUCCACCCGAGACUCAGUGAAAUUGAACUCGCUGUGAAGAUGCAGUGUACCCGCGGCAAGACGGAAAGACCCCGUGAACCUUUACUAUAGCUUGACACUGAACAUUGAGCCUUGAUGUGUAGGAUAGGUGGGAGGCUUUGAAGUGUGGACGCCAGUCUGCAUGGAGCCGACCUUGAAAUACCACCCUUUAAUGUUUGAUGUUCUAACGUUGACCCGUAAUCCGGGUUGCGGACAGUGUCUGGUGGGUAGUUUGACUGGGGCGGUCUCCUCCUAAAGAGUAACGGAGGAGCACGAAGGUUGGCUAAUCCUGGUCGGACAUCAGGAGGUUAGUGCAAUGGCAUAAGCCAGCUUGACUGCGAGCGUGACGGCGCGAGCAGGUGCGAAAGCAGGUCAUAGUGAUCCGGUGGUUCUGAAUGGAAGGGCCAUCGCUCAACGGAUAAAAGGUACUCCGGGGAUAACAGGCUGAUACCGCCCAAGAGUUCAUAUCGACGGCGGUGUUUGGCACCUCGAUGUCGGCUCAUCACAUCCUGGGGCUGAAGUAGGUCCCAAGGGUAUGGCUGUUCGCCAUUUAAAGUGGUACGCGAGCUGGGUUUAGAACGUCGUGAGACAGUUCGGUCCCUAUCUGCCGUGGGCGCUGGAGAACUGAGGGGGGCUGCUCCUAGUACGAGAGGACCGGAGUGGACGCAUCACUGGUGUUCGGGUUGUCAUGCCAAUGGCACUGCCCGGUAGCUAAAUGCGGAAGAGAUAAGUGCUGAAAGCAUCUAAGCACGAAACUUGCCCCGAGAUGAGUUCUCCCUGACUCCUUGAGAGUCCUGAAGGAACGUUGAAGACGACGACGUUGAUAGGCCGGGUGUGUAAGCGCAGCGAUGCGUUGAGCUAACCGGUACUAAUGAACCGUGAGGCUUAACCUU
rnacentral:rRNA from 1 species